UUUCCGUCUAUCCUCGAGAAACAAACAGGAAGGAAGAAAAAGGGAAUGGCAGAUGGUUCGGAAGAUGGGUUAGGAUUUUCGAGUGAAGAUUACGAUUCGCUAAUUGCGACGACUGACGUGGAGCUCUUGAAGCGGGCAUGGCGGAAUGAGAAAGCUUCUCCUGAAAUUCUUCAGUUUCAGGCUAGUUUGGUACAGAGAUCUAGAGAACAGAUUCAGUUGAUGGAAGAUACUAUGGAGGAAUUUGCCAAAAAUGGUACGGAUCCGCUUACUGUCUCUCUGUACCAGAUGGAUUUAGAUAGGGCACUGUUCCUCUUGAGAUCUUAUCUUCGGACCCGCCUUCAAAAGAUUGAGAAGUACUUUAUCCACAUUUCAAAAUCUGAAUUGUGGAACCGGCUCUCUGAACAAGAGCAGAAGUUUGCUAAAAAGUGCACGGAUUUUAUGGAAAAGCAUCUCCAAAAAUCUGUUUUGUCUCAUUUACCUUAUGGUUAUCAGUCCAUUCUGAGGCAAUCCAUAUCUAGUGAAGAAGAUGACAUGGUCCCGGAGCCUCGGUUGGACACCUUUGUCUUCUGCAAAAGCAAGGGUUCUGUGGGAGCUUUCCAGCUUGAUGAUAGUGGGGAUGAGAUUGUGGACCUAGUUGCGGAUGAUCUGUAUGUACUACGUUACAAGUCAAUAAAGGCACUCGUAGAGAGUGGGCAGAUCGACCUUGUGUAAGAAAGAGUUUGGCAUCUUCUGGGUGAUAAGGCAUUUGCAUGUAACCCAUGGUAGGUUUGUAAGUAUCUAUGAAAAAGCCAGGAAGGAGCUGAUGGCCCUUUCC